UACAGAGGGGGCAAGCGUUAUUCGGAAUUAUUGGGCGUAAAGGGCGCGUAGGCGGCUUUGCAAGUGACGGGUGAAAUCCCACGGCUUAACCGUGGAACUGCCUGUCAGACUGCAUGGCUUGAGACCAGGAGAGGUGAGUGGAAUUCCCAGUGUAGCGGUGAAAUGCGUAGAUAUUGGGAAGAACACCUGAGGCGAAGGCGGGUUGCUGGGCUGAUACUGACGCUGAGGCGCGAAAGCCAGGGGAGCAAACGGG
rnacentral:rRNA from 1 species